UAGCUAGUUGGUGAGGUAAAGGCUUACCAAGGCGACGAUCUGUAGCGGGUCUGAGAGGAUGAUCCGCCACACUGGAACUGAGACACGGUCCAGACUCCUACGGGAGGCAGCAGUGGGGAAUUUUGCACAAUGGGGGCAACCCUGAUCCAGCCAUGCCGCGUGAGUGAAGAAGGCCUUCGGGUUGUAAAGCUCUUUCGGCCGGGAAGAAAUCGCAUGGGCCAAUACCCUGUGUGGAUGACGGUACCGGAAUAAGAAGCACCGGCUAACUACGUGCCAGCAGCCGCGGUAAUACGUAGGGUGCGAGCGUUAAUCGGAAUUACUGGGCGUAAAGCGUGCGCAGGCGGUUUUGUAAGACAGGCGUGAAAUCCCCGGGCUUAACCUGGGAACUGCGUUUGUGACUGCAAGGCUAGAGUACGGCAGAGGGGGGUGGAAUUCCACGUGUAGCAGUGAAAUGCGUAGAGAUGUGGAGGAACACCAAUGGCGAAGGCAGCCCCCUGGGUCGAUACUGACGCUCAUGCACGAAAGCGUGGGUAGCAAACAGGAUUAGAUACCCUGGUAGUCCACGCCCUAAACUAUGUCAACUAGGUGUUGGGUGGGUAAAACCAUUUAGUACCGUAGCUAACGCGUGAAGUUGACCGCCUGGGGAGUACGGCCGCAAGGUUAAAACUCAAAGGAAUUGACGGGGACCCGCACAAGCGGUGGAUGAUGUGGAUUAAUUCGAUGCAACGCGAAAAACCUUACCUACCCUUGACAUGCCAGGAACUUGCCAGAGAUGGCUUGGUGCCCGAAAGGGAGCCUGGACACAGGUGCUGCAUGGCUGUCGUCAGCUCGUGUCGUGAGAUGUUGGGUUAAGUCCCGCAACGAGCGCAACCCUUGUCGUUAAUUGCCAUCAUUUAGUUGGGCACUUUAACGAGACUGCCGGUGACAAACCGGAGGAAGGUGGGGAUGACGUCAAGUCCUCAUGGCCCUUAUGGGUAGGGCUUCACACGUCAUACAAUGGUCGGUACAAAGGGUUGCCAAGCCGCGAGGCGGAGCCAAUCCCAGAAAGCCGAUCGUAGUCCGGAUUGCAGGCUGCAACUCGCCUGCAUGAAGUCGGAAUCGCUAGUAAUCGUGGAUCAGCAUGUCACGGUGAAUACGUUCCCGAGUCUUGUACACACCGCCCGUCACACCAUGGGAGCGGGUUCCGCCAGAAGUAGGUAGCCUAACCGCAAGGGGGGCGCUUACCACGGCGGGGUUCGUGACUGGGGUGAAGUCGUAACAAGGUAGCCGUAGGGGAACCUGCGGCUG
rnacentral:rRNA from 1 species